UACAGAGGGUGCAAGCGUUGUUCGGAAUUAUUGGGCGUAAAGGGCGCGUAGGCGGUGUCGCAAGUCCGUGGUGAAAUCUCCAGGCUCAACUUGGAGUCUGCCACGGAAACUGCCGUGCUGGAGUGUGGGAGAGGUGCGUGGAAUUCCUGGUGUAGCGGUGAAAUGCGUAGAUAUCAGGAGGAACACCUGUGGCGAAAGCGGCGCACUGGACCACAACUGACGCUGAGGCGCGAAAGCUAGGGGAGCAAACAGG
rnacentral:rRNA from 1 species